AUGGAGACAGACACACUAUUCCUAUGGGUGCUGCUGCUCUGGGUUCCUGGCUCCAUUGGUGACGUUGUGCUGACCCAGUCUCCAGCAUCUUCGGCUGUGUCUCUAGGGCAGAGGGUCACCAUCUCCUGCAGAGCCAGCGAAAGUGUCUAUAAUGGUAUGCACUGGUACCAACAGAAACCAGGACAGCCACUCAAACUCCUCAUCUAUUAUGCAUCCAACCUAGAAUAUGGGAUUCCUGCCAGGUUCAGUGGCAGUGGGUAUGGGACAGACUUCACCCUCACAAUCAAUCCUGUGGAGGCCGAUGAUGUUGCAGACUAUUACUGUCAGCAAGGUAAUAAGCUUCCUCCCACAGUGCUCCAGGCCUGAACAAAAACCUCCUGGGGUUGCAGCUCUGAGGCUCAGUCUCUCAGUUCUCUCUUACUCUAUGGCAUCUCAACACACAGCUCUAAGCAUGUUUGGCAAAAUAUCUCAAAUAAUGAAACAAAUUCUAUAAACAGAUAUGUAUGUGUGUCCCAUCCCUCAUGCUUUAUAAUUUAUUUCCCA